CCUCUGUGGUGAUGAAACAUGAAACUUAGCAUGUUAGACUUCAGAGAUUUUUUUGCCAAAAAAUCCAUGAGAAGAAAAUGCAGUUUCUGAUCAGAGA
rnacentral:snoRNA from 1 species